GAUCCUGGCUUAGGACGAACGCUGGCGGCGUGCCUAAUACAUGCAAGUCGAACGGUCUUUCUAUGGAAGCUUGCUUCCACUGAGAAGAUAGUGGCGAACGGGUGAGUAACACGUGGGUAACCUGCCCAUAAGAGGGGGGAUAACAUCCGGAAACGGGUGCUAAUACCGCAUAGUUUUCUUGGUCGCAUGAUCGGGAAAGGAAAGACGGCCUUUGUGCUGUCGCUUAUGGAUGGACCCGCGGCGUAUUAGUUAGUUGGUGAGGUAACGGCUCACCAAGACGAUGAUACGUAGCCGACCUGAGAGGGUGAUCGGCCACAUUGGGACUGAGACACGGCCCAAACUCCUACGGGAGGCAGCAGUAGGGAAUCUUCCGCAAUGGACGAAAGUCUGACGGAGCAACGCCGCGUGAGUGAAGAAAGGUUUUCGGAUCGUAAAACUCUGUUGUCAGAGAAGAACAAGUUGGAGAGUAACUGCUCCAGCCUUGACGGUAUCUGACCAGAAAGCCACGGCUAACUACGUGCCAGCCGCCGC
rnacentral:rRNA from 1 species